GCUCUUGUGGCGGAAUUGGAAGACGCGAUCGGCUUAGACCCGAUUUCUAUAUAUGUGGGUUCGACUCCCACCAAGAGCA
rnacentral:tRNA from 1 species